GAUGAACGCUGGCGGCGUGCCUAAUACAUGCAAGUCGAGCGAACAGACGAGGAGCUUGCUCCUUUGACGUUAGCGGCGGACGGGUGAGUAACACGUGGGUAACCUACCUAUAAGACCGGGAUAACUUCGGGAAACCGGAGCUAAUACCGGAUAAUAUUUCGAACCGCAUGGUUCGAUAGUGAAAGAUGGCUCUGCUAUCACUUAUAGAUGGACCUGCGCCGUAUUAGCUAGUUGGUAAGGUAACGGCUUACCAAGGCAACGAUACGUAGCCGACCUGAGAGGGUGAUCGGCCACACUGGAACUGAGACACGGUCCAGACUCCUACGGGAGGCAGCAGUAGGGAAUCUUCCGCAAUGGGCGAAAGCCUGACGGAGCAACGCCGCGUGAGUGAUGAAGGUCUUCGGAUCGUAAAACUCUGUUAUUAGGGAAGAACAAACGUGUAAGUAACUGUGCACGUCUUGACGGUACCUAAUCAGAAAGCCACGGCUAACUACGUG
rnacentral:rRNA from 1 species